ACGAGAAUAUUCCGCAAUGGACGAAAGUCUGACGGAGCGACGCCGCGUGAUGGAUGAAGUGCCUUGGUACGUAAACAUCUUUUAUCGGGGACGAAGUUUAUUGACGGUACCCGAUGAAUAAGGAGCUCCUAACUCUGUGCCAGCAGGAGCGGUAAUACAGAGGCUCCAAGCAUUACCCGGAAUCACUGGGCGUAAAGGGUGUCUAGGCGGCCAUAUUAGUCUCUCGUUAAAUGUCCGAGCUAAACUUGGUCACUGCGAGGGAAACGGUAUGGCUCGAGGGCGUGAGAGGUGCAUGGAACUCAUGGUGGAGGGGUGAAAUCCGUUGAUAUCAUGGGGAACACCAAAGGCGAAGGCAAUGCACUGGUACGUUCCUGACGCUCAAACACGAAAGCCAGGGUAGCGAAUGGGAUUAGAUACCCAUGUAGUCCCUGAGCGGGCUGGCAAGGCGCAU
rnacentral:rRNA from 1 species